rnacentral:hammerhead_ribozyme from 1 species
CUGUUGCUGAUGAGACCUAACCAGGUCGAAACAACUGUACAGCAG